rnacentral:siRNA from 1 species
AGGUAAGGAAUGGACAGGAAGGA